rnacentral:rRNA from 1 species
AUGCAGUAAACGAUGAGUGCUCGCCAUUUGCCUUUCGGGGUGAGUGGCUUAGGGAAACCGUUAAGCACUCCACCUGGGGAGUACGCCGGCAGCGGUGAAACUCAAAGGAAUUGACGGGGGCCCGCACAAGCGGAGGAACAUGUGGUUUAAUUCGAUGAUACGCGAGGAACCUUACCCGGGCUUGAAAUCAGGAUGAACGAUCUGGAGACAGAGAGGUCUGGCAACAGCAUCCUGGUAGGUGCUGCAUGGUUGUCGUCAGCUCGUGCCGUGAGGUGUCGGCUUAAGUGCCAUAACGAGCGCAACCCUCGCUGACAGUUACUAACAGGUAAAGCUGAGGACUCUGUCGGGACUGCCACCGCAAGGUGCGAGGAAGGUGGGGAUGACGUCAAAUCAGCACGGCCCUUACGUCCGGGGCUACACACGUGUUACAAUGGGUGGGACAGAAAGAAGCCAGGCGGCGACGCCGAGCGGAUCUCCAAACCCAUCCCUAGUUCGGACUGGAGUCUGCAACCCGACUCCACGAAGCUGGAUUCGCUAGUAAUCGCGCAUCAGCCAUGGCGCGGUGAAUACGUUCCCGGGCCUUGUACACACCGCCCGUCAAGCCAUGAAAGUCUGGGGCACCUGAAGACUGUAACCGCAAGGAGCGGUCAAGGGUGAAACAGAUAAUUGGGGCU